rnacentral:lncRNA from 15 species
UAUUAGUUCAAAAAUAAAGGAAAAAUUUAUUUUUCUCUGAAUCGGAGAGGUGAGCUAGGGUUUUCAAUUCCAAGUAAAUUAAACGAGGGUUUUGGAUUUUCUCUUCACAGAGAGAGGACGAGGGUAAUGGGAAGGUACAGAAGCCGUAGUCGGAGCCUUAGCAGAAGUUACAGUCCCGUGAGACGUAAACGCCACGAUGAACCACGUGACCGGCGCCGAGAACGUCGCUCUCCGGGACCUUCUGGCCUUCUCGUUCGUAAUAUCCCCCUUAGCGCCAGGCCAGAAGAUCUUAGGGUCCCCUUUGAACGCUAUGGUCCCAUAAGAGAUGUUUAUCUUCCCAAGAAUUAUCACACUGGGGAACCACGAGGAUUUGGCUUUGUGAAGUUCCGUUAUGCCGAAGAUGCAGCUGAAGCAAAAGCACACUUGAACAAUACAGUUAUUGGUGGACGUGAUAUUAGGAUUGUUUUUGCUGAGGAUAAUCGAAAGACCCCUCGAGAAAUGCGCAAGGUCUUAAGCACAAGUGGACCUAGUGCUCGAGGCAGCUACUGGAGACACAGUUCACCAAGUCGUAGAUAUCACUCUUACUCGCGCUCGGCUUCUCCAGCAAGACGUGACUCAAGAUGCUAAAUUGAGAAAGAGACUUAAAGAAUUCUGGACUAAUAAAGACAAUUGAGAAAAGGGACCAUAUCACCAUAAAGUCAAAGACUCUUGCUCAUGAAAUGUGAUGAAUCUCCAGAAGUUCCAAAUCACCAUCAUCAAAGUUCAUGUGAUUUUCCUUUUGUGGAUUUUUUUCUAGUAAGGGAUGAGCUUUCUACUGUACCAUGGAGAACCAAUUGAAGUGGUCUGGACAUAUUACAAUCACAAAAGGCCUUCAUUUGCUUAUCUUAAAAUUCAUGUUUAAUUUCUAAACAAUGCACAAUGUCCAGUUAGGGAGAUAAUUUAGAGCUUAUAGUUGGCAAAAGAAAUCAUCUUCAAAGUGGCAAUAAUUUUCGAAGCUUUUAGUCAUUGACAUUUGGUGAGAAUGCUUGAGGAAAGAUAUCUCGAGAUUUUUAAAGUUGGGCAAAGGAGAGCUUUGAAGUGAUCAGAUGCUGAAGAACUGUAUCAUAUAGUGUGCUUAAACAGUGUCUGGAUUAAACUGUAGUUUUUUCCAGACAAUGAAAUGAGGAUACAGGGACAGGGAUCAUGAGAAGAAUCAUGAUGAUGAUUACUACUCGCCAAGGAGAUCCAGGUCACAGUCUCGGUCUAUUUCUCCAAGGGAUGACAGAAAUUGUAGGUCUAAAGGAAGAUCUUCAAGACAAUCAAGACCAAUGUCAAGGUCAAAUUCUCCAUGCAUUCAGAAAAAAGGCAGGUUCAUCAGCAUGACUCCAAGAGAUAAUAGUCAGAUUGCUCAUGAUGUGGACUCCACCCCAAGGAGGCUCAAGAGUCCUGGAAGAAAUGGAGGUAGUUCAGCCAGAUCUCCGUCUAGGUCCUACAGUCGUUGACGGUUUGCUCAUUGUUAUCACCAUCUGCUGAUCUUUUUUGGAGGUCUUGGGAAUAUCUUGGUCUAGAUGAUUGGACACAUGCAAACUAUAAUAGAUUGUUACAUCUGUUAUAUUUAUGUUUUGUUUCUUUUUGUCCAUCAUGUCACUCUAGACCUAUGGACUAUUGUAAUAUAUAGCUGAGUCGUGGGUUGAAUUUGGUUAUUUCUGUUUAUGUGCUACUUGUUCUCUAUAUAUGAAGUUACAAUGGACUUAAAGCAA